ensembl:misc_RNA Gm25103 predicted gene, 25103
CUAUGUGUGUGUGACAUCUGUGUGUGGCAUCAGUAACCUAACUGAUGGUUAGGGUUAACUCCGCUGAUCCAGCUGGUCAUGCUGGUGUCUGCUUCCUCCUCACUGUUUGAUGUGCAUCCCCGCUGAAGCUUCUGCUGCUAGAUCAAAAAGGAUGACCUCCUGUGCUACAGGAGCACUGGUCUUCACUCAAGACUAUACGAAGAACAGUGUUCCUCUAGUACAACCUCUAAACAAACGCCCAGUUCUCAUUGUAAGGCUUUUAAAUGUUCCCACCUUCUAAAGUAGAGAAGAAAAUUUGUUGGCAGUUUAUAAUCAUAC